UACGGGGGGUGCAAGCGUUGUCCGGAUUUAUUGGGUUUAAAGGGCGCGUAGGCGGCCCGCUAAGUCGAACGUGAAAUCCCCAGGCUCAACCUGGGAACUGCGUCCGAUACUGGAUGGCUUGAAUCCGGGAGAGGGAUGCAGAAUUCCAGGUGUAGCGGUGAAAUGCGUAGAUAUCUGGAGGAAUACCGGUGGCGAAGGCGGCAUCCUGGACCGGCAUUGACGCUGAGGAGCGAAAGCCAGGGGAGCAAACGGG
rnacentral:rRNA from 1 species